CUAGAACCACAUUUUGAAAGCCAGUGUCUAGUGUAUUAAUGGCAAAUAGUAAUGUCUUCAUAUACUAGAUAUUAAUACUUGCCCAUCUUUUGAUUAGCUCACGUCUCUAGUCGUGGGGGAUAAACCUACAGUGCUUAUGUCAUACCUAC